rnacentral:rRNA from 1 species
UACAGAGGUCCCAAGCGUUGUUCGGAUUCAUUGGGCGUAAAGGGUGCGUAGGUGGCGCCGUAAGUGGGGUGUGAAAUUUCGGAGCUUAACUCCGAAACUGCAUUCCAUACUGCGGUGCUUGAGGACUGGAGAGGAGACUGGAAUUUACGGUGUAGCAGUGAAAUGCGUAGAGAUCGUAAGGAAGACCAGUGGCGAAGGCGGGUCUCUGGGCAGUUCCUGACACUGAGGCACGAAGGCCAGGGGAGCAAACGGG